ACGAACCAACGCUCCUGGUCCGUACGAGCAUAAAAGGCGACACCAAAGCUCCUUGUCCGCACGAGCAUAAAAGGUGACAACAAACGCUCCAUGCUUGCACGAGUUGAAAUUGCAAACGGCACCAAAAGCACCUUGCCUGCACGAGUUGAAAAUGCAAACGGCAACAAGCGCUCCUUGCUUGCACGAGUUGAAACUGCAAAUGGCACCAAAAGCUCUUUGCCUGCACGAGUUGAAACUGCAUAUGGUACAAAAAAAAUGUAUUUGAACUACGUUACGACUUGAUCUCUUCUUUGGAAGGGUACGUAGGCAGCUCGAAUGUUCAAUUUUUCGAGUUCAGUCACAUCAAAAUAAAAGAAUAAAUGUUUUAUUAAAGAAGGUCAAUUUUAUUACAAAUUUCUUUGGUUAAGAAAAUUGCAAUUUUCUUUGUACAAAAUUAAAUCACAGUUUAUUCGAAAAAAAAAAAA
rnacentral:lncRNA from 1 species